rnacentral:rRNA from 1 species
GACGAAUGCUGGCGGCGUGCUUAACACAUGCAAGUCGAACGGAAAGGCCCUGCUUUUGUGGGGUGCUCGAGUGGCGAACGGGUGAGUAACACGUGAGUAACCUGCCCUUGACUUUGGGAUAACUUCAGGAAACUGGUGCUAAUACCGGAUAGGAGCUCCUGCUGCAUGGUGUGGGUUGGAAAGUUUCGGCGGUUGGGGAUGGACUCGCGGCUUAUCAGCUUGUUGGUGGGGUAGUGGCUUACCAAGGCUUUGACGGGUAGCCGGCCUGAGAGGGUGACCGGCCACAUUGGGACUGAGAUACGGCCCAGACUCCUACGGGAGGCAGAAGUGGGGAAUAUUGCACAAUGGGCGGAAGCCUGAUGCAGCAACGCCGCGUGCGGGAUGACGGCCUUCGGGUUGUAAACCGCUUUCGCCUGUGACGAAGCGUGAGUGACGGUAAUGGGUAAAGAAGCACCGGCUAACUACGUG